rnacentral:rRNA from 1 species
GAUGAACGCUGGCGGCGUGCCUAAUACAUGCAAGUCGAGCGAAUGGAUUAAGAGCUUGCUCUUAUGAAGUUAGCGGCGGACGGGUGAGUAACACGUGGGUAACCUGCCCAUAAGACUGGGAUAACUCCGGGAAACCGGGGCUAAUACCGGAUAACAUUUUGAACCGCAUGGUUCGAAGUUGAAAGGCGGCUUCGGCUGUCACUUAUGGAUGGACCCGCGUCGCAUUAGCUAGUUGGUGAGGUAACGGCUCACCAAGGCAACGAUGCGUAGCCGACCUAAGAGGGUGAUCGGCCACACUGGGACUUGGACACGGCCCAGACUCCUACGGGAGGCAGCAGUAGGGAAUCUUCCGCAAUGGACGAAAGUCUGACGGAGCAACGCCGCGUGAGUGAUGAAGGCUUUCGGGUCGUAAAACUCUGUUGUUAGUGAAGAACAAGUGCUAGUUGAAUAAGCUGGCACCUUGACGGUACCUAACCAGAAAGCCACGGCUAACUACGUGCCAGCCGCCGCGGUAA